UACGUAGGGUGCGAGCGUUGUCCGGAAUUAUUGGGCGUAAAGAGCUCGUAGGCGGUCUGUCGCGUCUGCUGUGAAAACUCAGGGCUUAACUCUGAGCUUGCAGUGGGUACGGGCAGACUAGAGUGCGGUAGGGGAGACUGGAAUUCCCGGUGUAGCGGUGAAAUGCGCAGAUAUCAGGAGGAACACCGGUGGCGAAGGCGGGUCUCUGGGCCGAUACUGACGCUGAGGAGCGAAAGCAUGGGUAGCGAACAGG
rnacentral:rRNA from 1 species